UAUAAUACUGUUAUGAAUCGUAUGCUAGAAAUAGAAAGGAAGGAACAAAAAGGAUGGAAUGGUUCCAUGAUUUGUAUUUUCAUACUUAUUAUGCUUCACCUUCUUCGUCUUCAUAAUUGACGGGA
rnacentral:ribozyme from 14 species